CCGGCGCACGGGUGAGUAACACGUAUCCAACCUGCCGUCUACUCUUGGACAGCCUUCUGAAAGGAAGAUUAAUACAAGAUGGCAUCAUGAGUCCACAUGUUCACAUGAUUAAAGGUAUUCCGGUAGACGAUGGGGAUGCGUUCCAUUAGAUAGUAGGCGGGGUAACGGCCCACCUAGUCUUCGAUGGAUAGGGGUUCUGAGAGGAAGGCCCCCCACGUUGGAACUGAGACACGGUCCAA
rnacentral:rRNA from 1 species